GAUGAACGCUGGCGGCGUGCCUAAUACAUGCAAGUCGAGCGAACAGACGAGGAGCUUGCUCCUCUGACGUUAGCGGCGGACGGGUGAGCAACACGUGGAUAACCUACCUAUAAGACUGGGAUAACUUCGGGAAACCGGAGCUAAUACCGGAUAAUAUAUUGAACCGCAUGGUUCAAUAGUGAAAGACGGUUUUGCUGUCACUUAUAGAUGGAUCCGCGCCGCAUUAGCUAGUUGGUAAGGUAACGGCUUACCAAGGCGACGAUGCGUAGCCGACCUGAGAGGGUGAUCGGCCACACUGGAACUGAGACACGGUCCAGACUCCUACGGGAGGCAGCAGUAGGGAAUCUUCCGCAAUGGGCGAAAGCCUGACGGAGCAACGCCGCGUGAGUGACGAAGGUCUUCGGAUCGUAAAACUCUGUUAUUAGGGAAGAACAAAUGUGUAAGUAACUAUGCACGUCUUGACGGUACCUAAUCAGAAAGCCACGGCUAACUACGUG
rnacentral:rRNA from 1 species